UGAGCAAUCUGCCCUUCUCAUCGGAAUAAGCGUUGGAAACGACGUCUAAUGCCGAAUACGACCUCCUUUCGCAUGAUCGGAGGUGGAAAGCUCCGGCGGAGGAGGAUGAGCUCGCGGCCUAUCAGCUAGUUGGUGUGGGUAAUGGCCCACCAAGGCGACGACGGGUAGCCGGCCUGAGAGGGUGACCGGCCACACUGGGACUGAGACACGGCCCAGACCUCCGUACGGGAGCAG
rnacentral:rRNA from 1 species